rnacentral:sRNA from 1 species
GAUGGGGCUAUCCCGGCCAGGAGAAAAGCGCGACGCACCGCGCGCCUGCCCCAUCCUUUUGCAUUCGGUG